CUAUUAGAUGAGCCUAUAUUAGAUUAGCUAGUUGGUGGAGUAAUAGCCUACCAAGGCAAUGAUCUAUAGCUGAUCUGAGAGGAUGAUCAGCCACACUGGAACUGAGAUACGGUCCAGACUCCUACGGGAGGCAGCAGUGGGGAAUAUUGGACAAUGGGCGAAAGCCUGAUCCAGCCAUGCCGCAUGAGUGAAGAAGGCCUUUGGGUUGUAAAGCUCUUUUAGUGAGGAAGAUAAUGACGGUACUCACAGAAGAAGUCCUGGCUAACUCCGUGCCAGCAGCCGCGGUAAUACGGAGAGGGCUAGCGUUAUUCGGAAUUAUUGGGCGUAAAGGGCGCGUAGGCUGAUUAAUAAGUUAAAAGUGAAAUCCCGAGGCUUAACCUUGGAAUUGCUUUUAAAACUAUUAAUCUAGAGAUUGAAAGAGGAUAGAGGAAUUCCUGAUGUAGAGGUAAAAUUCGUAAAUAUUAGGAGGAACACCAGUGGCGAAGGCGUCUAUCUGGUUCAAAUCUGACGCUGAAGCGCGAAGGCGUGGGGAGCAAACAGGAUUAGAUACCCUGGUAGUCCACGCUGUAAACGAUGAAUGUUAAAUAUGGGAAGUUUA
rnacentral:rRNA from 1 species